CAAGGUGCUGCAUGGCUGUCGUCAGCUUCGUGUCGUGAGAUGUUGGGUUAAGUCCCGUACGAGCGCAACCCUUGUCCUUAGUUACCAGCACGUUAUGGUGGGCACUCUAAGGAGACUGCCGGUGACAAACCGGAGGAAGGUGGGGAUGACGUCAAGUCAUCAUGGCCCUUACGGCCUGGGCUACACACGUGCUACAAUGGUCGGGUACAAAGGGUUGCCAAGCCGCGAGGUGGAGCUAAUCCCAUAAAACCGAUCGUAGUCCGGAUCGCAGUCUGCAACUCGACUGCGUGAAGUCGGAAUCGCUAGUAAUCGUGAAUCAGAAUGUCACGGUGAAUACGUUCCCGGGCCUU
rnacentral:rRNA from 1 species